AUUCCUUCCGGGGUUGUGGGACUUCGAUGUGAGACUUUGAUGGAUAGCGGAAUGGUCUGGAAAGGCCGGCCGAAGAGGGUGAUAGCCCCGUAUGCGAAAUCUUGAUGAGCUCUAGAAGUAUCCCGAGUACCACGGGACACGAGAAAUCUUGUGGGAAUCUGGGGGGACCAUCCUCCAAGCCUAAGUACUACCUACCGACCGAUAGUGAACCAGUACCGUGAGGGAAAGGUGAAAAGCACCCCGUUGAGGGGAGUGAAAUAGACCUGAAACCGUUUGCCUACAUUCAGUAGGAGCUCUAUGGCGAUUCUUCGGAAUCGCAAUGAGUGACUGCGUACCUUUUGUUUAAUGGGUCCGCGAGUUAUUCCUCAGUAGCAAGGUUAAGCCGCCAGGUGUAGCCGCAGCGAAAGCGAGUCUGAAUAGGGCGUCUAGUUACUGGGGAUAGACCCGAAACCAAGUGAUCUAUCCAUGGCCAGGUUGAAGCUCAGGUAAGACUGAGUGGAGGACCGAACCGUAGUAGGUUGAAAACUACCCGGAUGAGUUGUGGAUAGGGGUGAAAGGCCAAUCAAACUUGGAGAUAGCUGGUUCUCCCCGAAAUAUAUUUAGGUAUAGCCUCGCGUUUAUACCACCGGAGGUAGAGCACUGACUGGGCUAGGGGUCCUACCAGAUUACCGAACCCAAUCAAACUCCGAAUACCGGUGAGUACUGCGCGGGAGUCAGACUGCGGGUGAUAAGAUCCGUGGUCGAGAGGGAAAGAACCCAGACCGCCGGCUAAGGUCCCUAAAUCAUUGCUGAGUGGGAAAGGAAGUGAGAGCGCUUAGACAACCAGGAUGUUGGCUUAGAAGCAGCCACCAUUUAAAAAGUGCGUAACAGCUUACUGGUCUAGUGAAUUCGCGCCGAAAAUGUAACGGGGCUAAGCAAUGUACCGAAGCCGCGGAGCAUUCAUUUCUUCGGAUUUGAAUGUUGGUAGGGGAGCGUUCCAUACACGUCGAAGGCCUACCGUGAGGAGGGCUGGAGAGUAUGGAAGUGAUGAUGCGGACAUGAGUAGCGAUAAACAGGGUGAGAAACCCUGUCGCCGUAAACCUAAGGGUUCCUGAGUCAAGCUAAUCUUCUCAGGGUUAGUCGGCCCCUAAGCCGAGGGCGAAAGCCGUAGGCGAUGGGAAUCAGUUUAAUAUUACUGAACCACUAGAUAGCCGUUCGACCGAAGGGGGGACGGAGAAGGAUAGCUCAGCCCGUUAUUGGAUUCGGGUGAACGUCAAUAGGCGGGAGGUGUAGGCAAAUCCGCACCUCUAUUAACGCUGAGGGACGGGACGGUGGCCAAUAUGGCCCGUAAGUGAGUGAUUCCAUGCUUCCUAGAAAAGCCUCGUAGGGAGGUUGUCUGGUGACCGUACCGCAAACCAACACAGGUAGGUGGGCAGAGCAUGCCAAGGCGCUUGAGAAAACUCUGGUUAAGGAACUCGGCAAAUUGACACCGUAACUUCGGGAGAAGGUGUGCCUUUUCUGGUGAAAGACUUCGCGUCUGGAGCUGGGAAAGGUUGCAGAGACCAGGGGGUAGCGACUGUUUACUAAAAACACAGGACUCUGCGAAGUCGCAAGACGACGUAUAGGGUCUGACGCCUGCCCGGUGCCGGAAGGUUAAGGGAACCUGUUAGCUCUUCGGAGCGAAGCAGCGAACCGAAGCCCCGGUAAACGGCGGCCGUAACUAUAACGGUCCUAAGGUAGCGAAAUUCCUUGUCGGGUAAGUUCCGACCUGCACGAAUGGCGUAACGACUUCCCCACUGUCUCAGCCAGGGAC
rnacentral:rRNA from 1 species